UGUGUGUGUGUGUGUGUAUAUAUGUGUGUAUAUAUAUAUAUAUAUAUAUAUAUAUAUCCACACACACACACA